GAGCUGACUAACCAUAGCUUUCUUUUUGGAGAGUACUUCUCUUGGAGUCUUUUUGGUGAGCCUAGGGCAAGGUGUCUUCAAAGAAAUGACUGAAAGAAAACAACACCUGAAUGACGUGGAAUGUGCUGGGGCACAAGGAAGGUAGUUGCUAUUGGUCCCGAGGAAGCUGUGUAUGAGCAAGCAAUGGUGCAGAGGUGCUGUGUGGGCCAACAAGAACACCUGCAAUGAGGUGGCACAGGGAGGUAUAUUUUGGCUUAAGCACAAGUCAGGUUGGUGUCUUUGGUGCUUUCCCAGUGGAUGCAAACCUCAUGAGUGCAGUUCACCUGAGCGGAAUCCCCCAAUUUCUGUCACAGCUGUACUUCUGUCUUGGAGCUACAAGAGUCUACAUAAAAAAUUGUUCAGUGUUCAGUGUAAAAAUCAUUAAGGUUGGGAGAAGAUAUCUAAGGUCAUCAAUUCCAACUAUCAACCCAUCCACUACAAUGCUCACUAAAACAUGUCUGUACUGCCUUAUGUAGGAAGGAAAAUGAUCUGCUGCCUGUUUGUUUCCUUUGCCUCGUGAAACGUGACUCAGGCUUUUUGCAUUCUCUUUCCAUGCUGGUUGGCUGGCUCAUCUAAAACCUCUCACAUAAGCUCAGACCAGGGUUCAACCAAGAUACUUUCCAGUUGGUGCUAGUGGCAUUUGACAUCUUCUCUUUGUGAUUGAGUCAUGUAAGAGCUGAAGGCAAGGGGAGAAACAGAAGUAGAUCUUGGAUCUCAGCAUGGAUGCUCUACAAAUGGCUGCAUUUGUUGUUCUUUAAAUCUCAUGAUCUUUUGCUAUUAAAAUUCAGAUCAGGCUAAAAAAAAAACCUAUUGUCAAAAUCAGGCAGUAGGUAGUCAAAUGGUAGAAUAAAUACUCUGUCUGUGAAACAAGAAUCCACGUCAUGGACAGCUCUGCUAACAUAGUAAAUGAAAUUAUUUCAGGGUAGUUAUGUGCAUGUCUGGUUUUACAUAAGGUUACGUGAUUGCAUUAUUUGUGGUCAUUCAAAAUCCUUGGGUGCUCUUUACAAGAGUAUGGUGUUGCGUGCAGCUGGAAGAUGA